rnacentral:rRNA from 1 species
AGAGGGGUGCUCGAAAGAGAGCCGUAACACAGGUGCUGCAUGGCUGUCGUCAGCUCGUGUCGUGAGAUGUUGGGUUAAGUCCCGCAACGAGCGCAACCCUUGUCAUUAGUUGCUACAUUCAGUUGGGCACUCUAAUGAGACUGCCGGUGACAAGCCGGAGGAAGGUGGGGAUGACGUCAAGUCCUCAUGGCCCUUAUAGGUGGGGCUACACACGUCAUACAAUGGCUGGUACAAAGGGUUGCCAACCCGCGAGGGGGAGCCAAUCCCAUAAAGCCAGUCGUAGUCCGGAUCGUAGUCUGCAACUCGACUACGUGAAGUCGGAAUCGCUAGUAAUCGUGGAUCAGAAUGUCACGGUGAAUACGUUCCCGGGUCUU